GUAGGGGCCAAGCGUUGUCCGGAUUUAUUGGGCGUAAAGAGCUCGUAGGCGGUUGGGUAAGUCGGGUGUGAAAACUCCAGGCUCAACUUGGAGAUGCCACCCGAUACUGCUCUGACUUGAGUUCGGUAGGGGAGUGGGGAAUUCCUGGUGUAGCGGUGAAAUGCGCAGAUAUCAGGAGGAACACCGGUGGCGAAGGCGCCACUCUGGGCCGAAACUGACGCUGAGGAGCGAAAGCGUGGGUAGCAAACAGGAUUAGAUACCCUGGUAGUCCACGCCGUAAACGUUGGGCACUAGGUGUGGGCCCUAACCAACGGGGUCCGUGCCGUAGCUAACGCAUUAAGUGCCCCGCCUGGGGAGUACGGCCGCAA
rnacentral:rRNA from 1 species